rnacentral:rRNA from 1 species
UGGGUAAUAUUGGACAAUGGGCGAAAGCCUGAUCCAGCCAUGCCGCGUGUGUGAAGAAGGUCUUCGGAUUGUAAAGCACUUUAAGUUGGGAGGAAGGGCAGUAAGUGAAUACCUUGCUGUUUUGACGUUACCGACAGAAUAAGCACCGUCUAACUCUGUGCCAGCAGCCGCGGUAAUACAGAGGGUGCAAGCGUUAAUCGGAAUUACUGGGCGUAAAGCGCGCGUAGGUGGUUCGUUAAGUUGAAUGUGAAAGCCCCGGGCUCAACCUGGGAACUGCAUCCAAAACUGGCGAGCUAGAGUAGGGCAGGGGGUGGUGGAAUUACCUGUGUAGCGGUGAAAUGCGUAGAUAUAGGAAGGAACACCAGUGGCGAAGGCGACCACCUGGGCUCAUACUGACAAUGAGGUGCGAAAGCGUGGGGAGCAAACAGG